UUUUUCAGAAGUUUUUGGUGAGCCAACCCUCACAAACCUUCCUAAAAACUAAAAGAGCUAUUACUGAGUCUCAGCGAUUCUUGCCAUGAUCAGCUCUUCCCAGAGGAGAAGGAAGACCAAGGAAAUGAUUUGCUCAGGAUGAGGAAUGAAGACGGCCAUCUUGUGCUCAAACAAACAGAAGUCCACUGAUGAUCUCAUCAGCCAAAUGAGGGGUUUUGACCAAAUGAUGCCCUUGAAAGGAGUGAAAGAAGAGGAUGUGGUAAAUUGUCUUCAAAGAAAAAGCUUCUCAAAAGGUCUUAAAGCAGCUUGAAGAAUGGUCUGGGAUGUUAGGACUGAGAGAUCCUCUGGCUGAGAACAAGCUACACCACAUCAGUGCUGGAUAUCAGCCACAAACUGUUUCCAGACACGAGAGAAGAAGAUGAUGGGGAGAUGAAACCAGUUUAGAUGUGAUAAGGAAUCAUUAUUUUCUGAAACAGUAUCACAUGUCUUAUAUGUAUCACAUGAUCUGUAUCACAGUUGACUGGAUGGGACUGUGUGACUUUUAAGGACAUUUCAUCACUCAUCUGUGUGAACUGAUUAAUAUAUGAGGUUAAUGUAUUUUUGUUGAUAAUUAUUUUCCUUGAAUCUUAUUUGUCUUGAUGCUACUUUAUCAACUUUAUAGUCUAUGCUUCAAUAAAAUGAAAAUGGUGAAUAUUGUGUUCUGAAGAUUCUUGGUAAAUACAUCAUUUUACUAGGUAGGCUCAUAUGUGUUUAUUUUAGACUUGGAAAAACUAC